rnacentral:lncRNA from 1 species
CAAUUCAGGGGCAGCAACCCAACAACGGGUUGUCCGAUUCAUCUGAAAAUUGCAGGGCAGAUAGAUCUUGACCUGAUAAACAAUUUUUCCCAUGUCAGAUUUGCUCUAAAUGCUUUGGUUUUUGAGUUAUAAGCCAAAAACUGCAUUUUACCCCUAUGUUCUAUUUUUAGCCAUGGCGGCCAUCUUGGUUGGUUGGCCGGGUCACGCCACACAUUUUUUAAAC